rnacentral:rRNA from 1 species
AAAUUUAUAAUCUCGGCACCUUCGGUGUCCGAGUUGUAAUCUCUAGAAAUGUUUUCCGCGUUGGACCGCACACAAGUCUGUUGGAAUACAGCGGCAUAGUGGUGAGACCCCCGUAUAUGGUGCGGACGCCCAGCGCUUUGUGAUACAUUUUCGAAGAGUCGAGUUGUUUGGGAAUGCAGCUCAAAUUGGGUGGUAAAUUCCAUCUAAAGCUAAAUAUUGGCGAGAGACCGAUAGCGAACAAGUACCGUGAGGGAAAGAUGAAAAGCACUUUGGAAAGAGAGUUAACAGUACGUGAAAUUGUUGGAAGGGAAACGCUUGAAGUCAGACUUGCUUGCCGAGCAAUCGGUUUGCAGGCCAGCAUCAGUUUUCCGGGAUGGAUAAUGGUAGAGAGAAGGUAGCAGUUUCGGCUGUGUUAUAGCUCUCUGCUGGAUACAUCUUGGGGGACUGAGGAACGCAGUGUGCCUUUGGCGGGGGUUUCGACCUCUUCACACUUAGGAUGCUGGUGGAAUGGCUUUAAACGACCCGCCUUGGAACACGGACC